GGAAGACCUUGGAAACCGGGAGCUGAGCGGGGGGAGAGAGACGCAUGCGUACAGCGGUCUAGCUCCGCCCCGCCCUUCUUCGUGGGGGGGAGAGGGAGAAGUCCCGCCCCUAGCUACCAGGGAGCCAAUGGACGGCAGGAUACGGUUGCCAAGGUCUGGCGUCGCUACUCCCAGGGCAGAUGGCGGCCCCCAGGCCUGGUUGUUACUUAGGGGCGGUGAAGGCUCAGCGGCGGGAAGGAUAUGGACUGUAUGUUUAUCCUAAUUCUUUUUUUCAAUAUGAAGGAGAAUGGAAACAAGGAAGAAAACAUGGUCAUGGUAAGCUGUUAUUUAAGGAUGGGAGUUAUUAUGAAGGCGAGUUUGUAGAUGGAGAAAUUAUGGGAAAUGGAUUGCGAUACUGGGCAUCUACAGGAAACACUUAUUCAGGUCAGUUCGUUUCUGGAGAGCUCCAUGGACAUGGGGUUAUGCAGUACAAAGACGGUGGGAAAUAUGAAGGGGAGUUCUCCUAUGGAAUGAGAGAAGGACAUGGAUUACUUGUCGACAAGGAUGGACAAACUUAUCAAGGAACCUUUUACAAUAAUAAGAAACAUGGAGGAGGGAAAAUGACCUUCAAGAAUGGUGAUAAGUAUGAAGGAGACUGGAUCCUGGACCAGCAACAGGGUCAUGGGGUGCUGCACUGUGCCGAUGGAACUGUAUAUGAGGGACAGUGGAGAAAUGAUGUGUUCAAUGGACAGGGCACUGAAAUUCAUUGUUCUGGUGUCAUCUAUGAUGGACUGUGGAUCAAUGGCUACCCUGCUGCUCAAGCAAAGAAGAUAGUAAUUUUGGGCCCAGAAGUUAUUGAUGUAAUCCAAGGGUCUGCUAUCACCCUUCAUGUCCAGCUACAGAAUGAAGAAGGAGAGGUUUGUGAAUAUGAGAAUGGUCGACUUUUGGAGAUCUGGGCUGGAGUCAAAAAUCAUCAAAUUCCAGCAAGUUCUUCUACCAGCUUAUUCAAGUUAAUUGAAGAAGUUGAAAGGAAGCCAGUGAAAACCCCUUUUGGAUUUGAGUGUAUUAGCUAUCCUUUGAUGGAUGCUGUGUCUGGAAGCUGGGAACUGAAAGCUGCUGUCCCUAUAUCUGGCAAAUCUGGAUUUGCACUGGCUGAUUUACCAAUCCCUAAGGGAGAUACAGAGCCAGAAUCCAGAUCAGACACCCUGCUUGGAAUGGGAGAUGCCCCUAGCACCGAGGAUGGAUUUGAAGAUGAAAGUAUCCGUCCUCCAGCCAGUCAGAGAGUGGAGCGUGGCUGUGUUGUUUUCAGAAACAUCAUGCUUGCACCUCCUCCAGCUAAUUAUCAACCAUUCAUGCUUUUGGAUGAACUAAACAAGAAAAGAGGCAAAAAGCCAAGUGGAAGGAUAUCUGCUGAGAAAGCUGAGAAGUUGACAGUCUCACAGGAGAAAAUUGUAGACUGCAGGUCUGAAGUGACAGCGAAAGGGUACAAGUCAAAACAGGAUCAGCACUCCACGAAGAACUCUAGGGUAUUGCCAGAAACAGUUUCCAGAGGAGUGAAGGAUCCAAAUAUGGAAAUUAACCUUGUGCAAACGUCAGGAUAAAUGGAAAUAAUCGAUCCCAGAAAAAGCCACUAUCUUGGAAACUGAAAAAGCCCCAGCUCCUGGAGUCAAGUGGAGAUGUGAUGCUAUCAGCCUUCAUCCUUAAAGAAAAAGGCCGUUUAUGGGGCUGAAAUUACAUGGACUACUCUUCCUAUGGUAUUUCCACCCAUACAGGAACUGAAAUGAGAUGACCACAUUAGAAGAUCACGAGAGGACCACAUUAUUUCAGCCCUGUGAACUGCUCCGUGAAGCAUUACAAAAGCCAAGGGAAAAACAUAAACACAAAUACUAGACAUAUGUGUGUCCUUGAGUCAGAUCUGCUCACAUUUCCUACUCCACAGGGAGAGCUGGCCUGUGCAUUUAGGGGAAAGCACGUUGGAUUCUAUUCUUUCUUGAGCACUACGAAAAUUGUCAACUAAUUCCUAAGGGUGAAAUUCUUACUGAUGAAGAUGACAAAAGACGCAGUUAGAGCCCAGCUGUCUGGUCCCAGGCAGAGUCCCAUCAAAACAAUAAUUUGCCUUGAAAAACUGGUGCAAUCUGAAAAACACUGGGUCAGAUUCCCUGGUCCUUACUCAGUUCUGACUCAUGGACAAAACUCCCAUUGACUUCAAAGGGCGGAAUAAGGAUUGUAGAAUCUGGCUCAUAGAGGGAAUAAACGCAAGAACCACACACUUGUCGUUUUUUACCUAGUCACUUUCCUAGCUCUAACCCCACACUAGAUGUUAGUGUGGCUAAGUGAUGACUCAUUUCAAACAUGAAGGGGAAAAAAGAUUCAUCACAAGGGGAAAAUCUUUUAUAACCUGUCAGUAUGACUCUCAGAAUCCAAGCUUGCUUUGGGGAGUUAAUAAACAACACCCUUAGCUUUGGGUCUAACUUUAGUGUGCUUACAAAGUAUACGUGAUACAUUUAAAACCAACUGCACAGCGGGAGAUGUGGGGGGAAGUGUUUCCUCCUGUGAUUCAUCCUCUCCCAUCCUAGGGUCAAAUGCAAUGUGUCCAUUGUCUCUGUGGAGACAGGCAUUAACGCAGCUGAUCUCUAACAUCAGCGCUGAAACCUCUCUUAAAGUCAGGAGCUUCUCUGAAGGGGUAAUUAAAACUCAGAGGUGCACGUGCACUGCUGAUUGGCCUGGAAAUCAGAUUGGGAAAAUGGGUUGAAUGAUUUAAAAAAAAAAAAAUCCUAGCAAGAUUGACCAAUAAACAUUUUAUAUUGGAGCUACACCCAGCCCCCUGAUGUGAA